GGGGAAACGGUCGCCGGUGUUGACAUACUCUGUGACAUACCAAUUGUUGCCUCGGCGGAUCAGCCCGCUCCCGGUAAAACGGGACGGCCCGCCAGAGGACCCCUAAACUCUGUUUCUAUAUGUAACUUCUGAGUAAAACCAUAAAUAAAUCAAAACUUUCAACAACGGAUCUCUUGGUUCUGGCAUCGAUGAAGAACGCAGCAAAAUGCGAUAAGUAAUGUGAAUUGCAGAAUUCAGUGAAUCAUCGAAUCUUUGAACGCACAUUGCGCCCGCCAGUAUUCUGGCGGGCAUGCCUGUUCGAGCGUCAUUUCAACCCUCAAGCCCUCGGGUUUGGUGUUGGGGAUCGGCGAGCCCUUGCGGCAAGCCGGCCCCGAAAUCUAGUGGCGGUCUCGCUGCAGCUUCCAUUGCGUAGUAGUAAAACCCUCGCAACUGGUACGCGGCGCGGCCAAGCCGUUAAACCCCCAACUUCUGAAUGUUGACCUCGGAUCAGGUAGGAAUACCCGCUGAACUUAAGCAUAUCAAUAGCCGGAGGAAAUUCAUUUACCGAGUUUACAACUCCAACCCUGUUGAACUUACAUUUGUGGCCCGCGGAUCACCGCUCCGGUAAAAGGGACGGCCCCGAGGACCCUUAACUCUGUUUCUAUGUGUAACUUCUGAGUAAAAACAUAAAUAAAUCAAACUUUCACACGGAUCUUGUGUUUCGGCCUCAUAUAAAAAGCGCGAAUGGCAUAAGUAAGGUGAAUUGCAAA
rnacentral:rRNA from 1 species